rnacentral:rRNA from 1 species
UGGGGAAUAUUGCACAAUGGGGGAAACCCUGAUGCAGCGACGCCGCGUGAAGGAAGAAGUAUUUCGGUAUGUAAACUUCUAUCAGCAGGGAAGAAGAUGACGGUACCUGAGUAAGAAGCACCGGCUAAAUACGUGCCAGCAGCCGCGGUAAUACGUAUGGUGCAAGCGUUAUCCGGAUUUACUGUGUGUAAAGGGAGCGUAGACGGAUAGGCAAGUCUGGAGUGAAAACCCAGGGCUCAACUCUGGGACUGCUUUGGAAACUGCAGAUCUGGAGUGCCGGAGAGGUAAGCGGAAUUCCUAGUGUAGCGGUGAAAUGCGUAGAUAUUAGGAGGAACACCAGUGGCGAAGGCGGCUUACUGGACGGUGACUGACGUUGAGGCUCGAAAGCGUGGGGAGCAAACAGG